CCAGACUCCUACGGGAGGCAGCCGUGGGGACUCUUGCACAAUGGGGGACCCCCUGAUGCAGCGACGCCGCGUGCGUGACGAAGUAUUUCGGUAUGUAAAGCUCUAUCAGCAGGGAAGACAAUGACGGUACCUGAUUAAGAAGCCCCGGCUAACUACGUGCCAGCAGCCGCGGUCCUACGUAGGGGGCAAGCGUUAUCCGGAUUUACUGGGGGGAAAGGGAGCGUAGACGGCAGCGCAAGUCUGAAGUGAAAGGCCGGGGCUGAACCCCGGAACGGCGGGGGAAACGGGGCAGCGAGAGGGCAGGAGAGGUAAGGGGAAUGCCUAGGGGAGCGGUGAAAGGCGGAGAGAGUAGGAGGAACACCAGGGGCGAAGGCGGCUGACGGGACGGGAACUGACGGGGAGGCUCGAAAGCGGGGGGAGCAAACAGGAGGAGAGACCCGGGUAC
rnacentral:rRNA from 1 species